AGUGAACGCUGGCGGUAGGCCUAACACAUGCAAGUCGAACGGCAGCACAGUAAGAGCUUGCUCUUACGGGUGGCGAGUGGCGGACGGGUGAGGAAUACAUCGCAUUCUACUUUUUCGUGGGGAAUAACGUAGGAAAACUUAUGAUAAUACCGAAUAGAUCCAACGGGAGAAAGCAGGGGUGAUUGGGACUUUGCGCGUUUGAUUGAGCCGAUGUCGGAUUAGCUAGUUGGCGGGGUAAAGGCCCACCAAGGCGACGAUCCGUAGCUGGUCUGAGAGGAUGAUCAGCCACACUGGAACUGAGACACGGUCCAGACUCCUACGGGAGGCAGCAGUGGGGAAUAUUGGACAAUGGGCGCAAGCCUGAUCCAGCCAUACCGCGUGGGUGAAGAAGGCCUUCGGGUUGUAAAGCCCUUUUGUUGGGAAAGAAAAGCAGCAGGUUAAUACCCCGCUGUUCUGACGGUACCCAAAGAAUAAGCACCGGCUAACUUCGUG
rnacentral:rRNA from 1 species